CCUCGGUCUUUUGUCUAAAGGCGGCGGGCGAGUGCGGUUCCUUGUGCGUGUGCGUGCGUGUGUGGCGUCGCGGUCAGUGUAGUGAUAGUGUGCGUUAGUGUAAUAGUUUCUCUUAUUUCAAGCUUCUUCCUCGCGAUGGAUUAGGUGAGUACCCAUGUCACAGGUCACAUCGUGGGACAGACACCGCUGGAGCAACCCUUCUGAACGAGUAAGUACAAGAUUGCGGUUUCCUAGGCGGUAGGGAUAGGGCGAUAGGCUGUUAGGCUGACCAUUCUUUUUCAGGCACUAAUCAUUCUCUUUCAGAUAUUAACGUUCUCUUUCAGAUACGAACGUUCUCUUCAGAUACUAACGUUCUCUUUCAGAUAUUAACGUUCUCUUCCAGGUACACGUUAAUUAUUUAGUCUUCCACAGUAAUGCCCUUGUUAGCGACCUGUGGCGGCGUUCCUGGAGCCAUGUGGCGGCGGUGGCGGUGGCAGGCGACCACGUGGUGUCAUAUGGGUUACGUGGUAGAUGCAUUCACUCGGGCUGUUGGCGUUUAUUGGAAAUGAUUACAGAGGCUGGCUGGUAAUAACGCUACUGAACUACAAGAUGGAUGGAAGCAUGGAUAUCUCCCAGUGAUGAUAGAAAAGCAGCAACGGUGAUGAAUCUGGCUGUGGUGUGGAUUGAGCGAGUGAAGUCAGUGAACAAGUUGGCAGCGGGCCGAGGAGGCAGAGCUGGUGUGAGGUUACGUGUGGAUUGCG